AAGGCUGGGAAUUCAGAGGGCUCUGGCUACUUCGAAGGGUUGUUUCUUUGCAAAGAUGAUGAUGUUUCCUCUUUUGUUCAGUAUAUCCGCAAAAAAGUGCAACACGUGGGAGGCAAAGGUGUCUGUGGAUCUGCAGAGUUAGCUGCUGCGAAAGAGUUUUCCAGCAAGACCAGCAGUAAGCUGGAUGAGGAGGGAAUUGAAGUCGCUGUCUGUAGGCAUGGUGUUCUUUUGAGGGCACUCAAUAUGUUCAGAGGAGAGAUCUAUGCUUGUCCUUUAUACUUGCAGAAAGAGCUCUGCACAGAAAAUGCAACUUUCUUUUGUGCUGACAUCAUGUGCAAAUACUGGCCAUACUUGAUAAAAGUUUGCCAGGCCUGCCCGGAACUGAGACAUCUUCUGAACAUGAAGCCAUUCCUCUCAGUUAUGCAUGCAAAAGUACAUGGUGUGAAAUGUGAGAUCAAAUGGAGUGGAAGCUUUCAAACGGGCGCUGCAUAUACCAUGGGAGAAGAAGUGGAACAAGCGA